AACGCUAGCUACAGGCUUAACACAUGCAAGUCGAGGGGCAGCACUAGGUAGCAAUACUGAGGUGGCGACCGGCGCACGGGUGCGUAACGCGUAUCCAACCUUCCCGAUACUCUUGGAUAGCCUUCCGAAAGGGAGAUUAAUACAAGAUGGUGUUUCAGUUUCGCAUGUUAUUGAAACUAAAGAUUUAUCGGUAUCGGAUGGGGAUGCGUGACAUUAGAUAGUAGGCGGGGUAACGGCCCACCUAGUCUACGAUGUCUAGGGGUUCUGAGAGGAAGGUCCCCCACACUGGAACUGAGACACGGUCCAGACUCCUACGGGAGGCAGCAGUGAGGAAUAUUGGUCAAUGGUCGGAAGACUGAACCAGCCAAGUAGCGUGAAGGAUGAAGGUUCUAUGGAUUGUAAACUUCUUUUAUACGGGAAUAAAACACCUUACGUGUAGGGUCUUGUAUGUACCGUAUGAAUAAGCAUCGGCUAACUCCGUGCCAGCAGCCGCGGUAAUACGGAGGAUGCGAGCGUUAUCCGGAUUUAUUGGGUUUAAAGGGAGCGUAGACGGGAUGUUAAGUCAGUUGUGAAAGGCUGCGGCUCAACCGCAGCACUGCAGUUGAUACUGGCGUCCUUGAGUGCGGUUGAGGUAUGUGGAAUUCGUGGUGUAGCGGUGAAAUGCUUAGAUAUCACGAAGAACUCCGAUUG
rnacentral:rRNA from 1 species